AUUGAACGCUGGCGGCAGGCCUAACACAUGCAAGUCGAACGAGUGGCGGACGGGUGAGUAAUGUCUGGGAAACUGCCUGAUGGAGGGGGAUAACUACUGGAAACGGUAGCUAAUACAGCAUACCAUCGGAUGUGCCCAGAUGGGAUUAGCUAGUAGGUGGGGUAACGGCUCACCUAGGCAACGAGCCCUAGCUGAUCUGAGAGGAUGACCAGCCAAAUUGGAACUGAGACACGGCCCAGACUCCUACGGGAGGCAGCAGUGGGGAAUAUUGCGCAAUGGGCGCAAGCCUGAUGCAGCCAUGCCGCGUGAAUGAAGAAGGUCUUCGGGUUGUAAAGGACUUUCAGCGGGGAAGCGGUAUCCGAAGAGGAAGCACCGGCUAACUCCGUGCCAGCCGCCGCGGUAAUAC
rnacentral:rRNA from 1 species